rnacentral:rRNA from 1 species
UGGUACUUGUACCGACUGGAUGAGCAGCGAACGGGUGAGUAACGCGUGGGGAAUCUGCCUUUGAGCGGGGGACAACAUUUGGAAACGAAUGCUAAUACCGCAUAAAAACUUUAAACACAAGUUUUAAGUUUGAAAGAUGCAAUUGCAUCACUCAAAGAUGAUCCCGCGUUGUAUUAGCUAGUUGGUGAGGUAAAGGCUCACCAAGGCGAUGAUACAUAGCCGACCUGAGAGGGUGAUCGGCCACAUUGGGACUGAGACACGGCCCAAACUCCUACGGGAGGCAGCAGUAGGGAAUCUUCGGCAAUGGACGAAAGUCUGACCGAGCAACGCCGCGUGAGUGAAGAAGGUUUUCGGAUCGUAAAACUCUGUUGGUAGAGAAGAACGUUGGUGAGAGUGGAAAGCUCAUCAAGUGACGGUAACUACCCAGAAAGGGACGGCUAACUACGUGCCAGCAGCCGCGGUAAUACGUAGGUCCCGAGCGUUGUCCGGAUUUAUUGGGCGUAAAGCGAGCGCAGGUGGUUUAUUAAGUCUGGUGUAAAAGGCAGUGGCUCAACCAUUGUAUGCAUUGGAAACUGGUAGACUUGAGUGCAGGAGAGGAGAGU